CACCGCUAGCGCCUCUGAACCUCGCCAGGCACGUCCGGUUCUGCGGCCCCCACUCCGCCCCCGCCUGCCGGGAGCCGCGCAGUUACAAAGUGCCGGGAGCCGUGCAGGGCCAGUGAACCCCUCGCUGAGACUCAGUUUGCUGCCAUCACAAGUGCUCUGAGAAUCCUGGAGAGGGAGGAUAUUGGAGACAAACGGGACUGCUGCCCGCCUUUUAGGCGACCGUUGGAGGCUGCUCUGUGCCGGACACAGGCAGGCUCCCACAGCUCAGAAGUCAGCGGAGCAGAGUCCCCAGGAAACCAGGGUCAGGGAUGGAGGCUGCUGAGGAGCGGGUCUGGGAGGUGGAGGCCAGAUACAAGAAAACCACAGUACCAGUAAAUGACAAAGGCUGGAUCUUAACCCAAGUCCUCCGACUCUGAAGGCCAUACCCAACAGGUCCCAUUUUAUUUGUUUUACUUUUUUUUAAUUGAAGAAAAAAAAACUAGCAUUCCCCUACAGUGCCCCCCACCUGGUGGGGACAUCUUGGGUUGGCAAGGCCACCACUUUCAAGAGUAGAAGUGUUUUUCAGCAGGAGGAGUUGGCUGCACCAAAGGAGCUCAGGAGAAGCUGGAGUCUCAGGCCCAGCAGGAACAGCCAGAGGUUUUGCAGCUUUGCCCAGCGGCUGGGUUCGCCGAAGGGUCUCCCUGGGGGUUCCCAGCAUGAGCCGAAGCCACCCUCCCCUGUGGGAUCUGUGAGGCCAGGCAUUGGGCCUCUUUAGGCCUCAGUUUCCUCCCCUGUCAUAGGCAACUGACAGUCCCUCUGGAGCGCCACUGGGGCUGCAGAGGGAGGCCGGAGAGAUGGUGCCCCCCCUCCUCCCCGCCACCCCCACACACAGCCCUCAGCAGGAUGGUGGCUGCCUGGCCGAUUGCUUUUGCAUUUGCAGCAGAGCGGGGGAGUGAGGCCAAGCUGAGUGCCCCCUCCCCCUGCCCAGCCAGCUCAGACCCAGGCGGUGGAGCAGGAAGGCUCUGGGGAAAACAGUGUGAGUCACCGGGCGGCCAGAGUGUGUCCUUCCCUGCUAGCGCACUACACGGCAGGUUUCAUAGCUUGACAGCAAAGUGUUUGAAAACGAAGAGCAGGAAUUCCGCGGUUCCUGCCCGGCCUCGCCAUCCAGCUG
rnacentral:lncRNA from 1 species